CUGUCGGUCAACGUGCUUUCCUUUGUCCAUCCAAACGUGCAUUCUGGUCUACUCUUUGCACUCCGAUCUGUUGCCAAAUUCAACUUGGCGUGACACGCUCUCCGCCUCGUACAAGUGUAUCUACCGGUGCCAUCAGCUGUUUGUUGGCUACCCUGUUCAUCUACCAAAGCUCCGAGAGCUCUCUCCUUCUGGCUCAGGUAGGCCACCCAAAUGACGCCACACGUUCGCUAAAGUUUUGAUUUGUUUGACUCGGGUCUAACCGAUUAUGUAUUUUGUUGUAGCGUGGGUUUGAGUUUCCUCUGACUCGUCGGCCUUUAUUGUCUUCCUCCUCUCCUCCUCUGCUGUUGUGGAACGCGCCUGGGUGUAGCUGCAGACUCCCGGUUCGCUCUGAAUUGCUGCUGUUUUGUCCCCCCUCGAUACGCGCUUCGGACUGACGCGUCGCAGUGUCCGGUCAUCCGAGGGCUAUCACUCCGAAAGCAUUCAGCAGCCCAGCAUAAGUUAACUUGCGCAGGUGGCGCAUGUGGCCGAGUUCAGUGUGUGCGUGAAUGUAGUCUGUGUGCAGGUAAUCCCAGAGGGAGGUCCUCUUCCCCCCUGGUGGUGGGUCCGGUCACGUGGUGUGCAGUGAAUUGCAGUGCAGUGCAGUGUUACCUGUGUGUGAGUGCAAUAAUUCACCUUCACUUAGUGUGUGCAUGGGCACGAGUGUUUGUGUGUACUUAUCCAAGACCUAGACAGGGGGCUUAGUAUAAUUCCCCCCUCUUGGGUGCACCUGCCCUGUA